GAUGAAGAACGUAGCGAAAUGCGAUAAGUAAUGUGAAUUGCAGAAUUCAGUGAAUCAUCGAACCUUUGAACGCACCUUGCGCCCUUUGGCCAUUCCGAAGGGCAUGCCUGUUUGAGUAUCAUGAACACCUCAACUCUUUAUGGUUUUCCAUGAUGAGCUUGGACUCUGGGGGUUUUGCUGGCUCACAGUCGGCUCCUCUAAAAUGAAUCAGCUUACCAGUGUUUGGUGGGUAUCAUGGGUGUGAUAACUAUCUACGCUUGUGGUUUUCCACCAGGUAACCUUCAGCAGUGGAGGUUCGCUGGAGCUCAUAGAUGUCUCUCCUCAGUGAGGACAGCCCUUUGAAUGUUUGAUCUCAAAUCAGGUAGGACUACCCGCUGAACUUAAGCAUAUCAAUAAGCGGAGGA
rnacentral:misc_RNA from 1 species